rnacentral:pre_miRNA from 1 species
AGAGUAGAUUUGAGCCAGGGAUGACUUGCCGGUGGCAUAUACACAUAUCUGUAAGGGUAUUAUUGUUUUGCUGGCAAGUUGUCUUUGGUUCAUGUUUGCUCUUC